UCAAGAAACUUCCACAAUGGGCGAAAGCCUGAUGGAGCGACGUCGCAUGAUGGACGAAGUGCUUCGGCACGUAAACAUCUUUUAUGUGGGAUGAAAUUAUUGACAGUACCACAUGAAUAAGGGGCUCCUAACUCUGUGCCAGCAGGAGCGGUAAUACAGAGGCCCCAAGCGUUAUCCGGAAUCACUGGGCGUAAAGGGUGUCGAGGCGGUUGUAUUAGUCGUUCGUAAAAUCUACGAGCUUAACUUGUAGGCGGCGAACGAAACGGUACGACUUGAGGUUUGGAGAGGUGCGUGGAACUCACGGUGUAGGGGUGAAGUCCGUUGAUAUCGUGGGGAACACCAAAGGCGAAGGCAGCGCACUGACCAAAAUCUGACGCUCACACACGAAAGCUAGGGUAGCGAAGAGGAUUAGAUACCCAGGUAGUCCCUGAGCGGGCUGGCAAGGCGCAU
rnacentral:rRNA from 1 species